CCCCAACCAUGACGAACCCUAGAUUGUUUUCGCGUGUUCUCUCCCUCUUUCUACCAACUCUAAAGUACAACUGACAGUCUUCUGAUUUGUUCAUCUCUUUUCAUCUAUAUUUUCAAGCUUUCUUUUUCUUCACUUUAAUCUUAGCUGUGAUGUCGUGUUCAGAGAAACCCUACCCUAACCUGUUUCUCUCUCAUCGCACACGUGAGGUUGCAGUGCCGCCUCCCCUCAUCUCCGGAUUCCAUGGGGAAGUACGACCUCCACUUCUCUUCCACAUCCCUUCCUCUUCAAAUUUCGUCCUUUUUCCCGAUUUUUCUCUUCUGCAGCGUCACUUAUUCCCCCGUUCCAGCUGUGAUCGACGUCACUCCGGCGCUGGCUAUCACGUCGCCCGUCAACCAUUACAUCGAUGUGAUUGGCUUGGUAACUGGUGUUUCUGAGGAGAAGCAGUAUCUGAAGUGUUCCAAAGUUACCAGGGCUAUACAGAUUAAACUAACAUAUGGCAGAACACAAAAAGUGAAGGCAAACAAGGGAAGUGUAAGCAGAAAUAGCACCACUCACCAAAAACGGUAGUUGAUUUAACUAGUAGGUGAUUCUACUUUUCUAAAAUCUGUAUGAGUUGAUGUGAAGUAUGCUUUUGAAUUUAAAAUUAAUAAUUCUUCAGCACAUAGAGCCACUAGAGUGAUUUGAAUUUUGAAGUGCUCUAUAAAUAAUGUUAACAUGCUCUGUGUUUGUUCGUUGCCAACUGUCACUUUCCUUCAAUUUUCUGGUUGCAAUUGGUAUGAACAAAAUGGUUUAUUCAUUCCCUUUAUUUCUAUCUGGCUCUGUUUUGCGUCAAAAUUUCAAAGUACAUGGAUUUUUAUGCAGAUUUAUUUGGCUUUAUAUUUUUAUGACUUCUUUCAGGUGUUUCAAAUUGUCAAAUUCCAAUUUCUUAUACUUCUCUCACUAAAUCACUAUGUUGUGAGCUGGUUCUUAUUGGCUCUACUAAGUACAUUUUCUUUCCUCCCUACAUUUUCUACCUCAAAAUCAACUCUGCUAUCUGCUUUAAUUACUUUUGGAUUUGUUAUGUUUCUAUUUAAUAUUCCUGCUAAUGUCAACUUGAAGCUAUUUGUUAUGUUUCUAUUUAAUAUAUUCAUUUGCAGCAUUGGUUUCUAUUAUAUGGCAAAGAUCGCAGUAACACCUUCAAUAGUUAUGCACUUAUGCAGAAUUUGUUGUGUACAGGAAGAAAGUUUCUUGGCCCAAUGUAAGUGCAUUCACUUUGACUGUGUCCCAAACCUAGAGAAGAUAAUUGAAGAAUUGAUUGGAAUAAUUAAAUAAAUGAAGAAAAUAAUUUUAUUGAAUUGAGGAGAAACAAAGCAGUCUCCCCUCUAAGAAUUUCCUGUUCAACAAAGAAUUUACCUGAUUAAGUCUCCGCUAAUUAACUACCUUAACUAUUUUAACCUCUCUAUUUUAUUCUUAUAUCCUAUAAGACUUUGCUUGCGUAUCAAUAUAACCAUAUAUUCAUAGUAGCAAAUAGGAAUGUAAUGGUCUGGUAGAAUUAAGGGGCUUUAUAUUUAACUGAUUUGGAAUAUGUGAACAUUUUGUUCUAUGAACUCUUUGUCAGCAAGCAUCCAUUGUUGUGACCUAAAAUAAAUGCUUGGAAUAGUUAAUCCCAUCAUUUCAUUAUGAGGUGAAGUGUAUGACUUAAGUAUGUCUCUUAAACAGCCUCUCCCCUCUCCACUUAAGCAUGAAAUGGUUACUGCUUCAUUUUUGUGAAAAGUAACUUAGUGCCUGAGUAAAUUUAGAGUGAACUGACCUAUGACAGCAGCUCAAACUCAAUAUAAUCAAAAGAGUUUAGUCACCUUAGUUCCUAAGAUGUAUAUAUGUUGAUGAUGACGCGGGAAAAAUUGAAACAACUUGAAACAAUAGGUGAAUCAUCCACUGUUUGCAAAAAGUAAACAAAGCAAAAUAAUAUCAAUUGCAUUCCCCCUUUUCAAUGGUUUGGAAUAUCACAAACAAACAACAAUUUUUAUUUUAGUUACUUUUCAGCAAAAAGUUGAUGGUUCAUCCAUUAUGCCAUUUGCAGUGUCAUUUCAAGCGUUGAAUCCAUUCCAGUACCUCUCCUUCCAUUGUAAGAGAUCAUCUUCAUGUUCAUGACAAAACUUAUCGGGAUCCAAUGUUCUGUGAAUUUUCAUAUAAUAUAUUAUUUUCCAAAAAGACGAUAUGAAUUGAUGACAUGUGAAGUGUUUGGUUUGCAGUGAUCUAGCUUGACUUGCAAAAUCUUAUCAAAAUGUCUACCUAUAUGAUUUUUGUCUGUUAUUUCUUUUUCCACUUUUAACUAUUUCUGUUCUAAAACAUUUUUUACUUUGAUGCUCUAUAGGAGUAACGUACAUAUUAUUCGCAUUUGAAGGUGUCUAUGUCUAUAAGGAAGCGUGCACCAUGUGCUUGGUUGUAGUAGCGACCUUUUGGCUUGAUGAGGUAAAGGACCUCAGUAAAUAGGAGUGAUGUUCCUUCCAUCAACAGCCUCAUCUUAUCAGAUCUUUCCCAUCUCUUUUCUGUAUGUCUCUGAGUUUGUAUCUAAGUGUUCCACUCCCCUUUUGAGUUUGUACUUUGUUGGAUGAAUAUUUUCAUAUCGUGAAUGAGCACUUAUCAUCUAAUGGUAAGUAGUUUGUAGUUAUGAUACCGUUUGCAAAGGUGAAAGCUUUUAGUGAAUACCAUGUGUAUUCCUUUUUGAAGUUUUGUUUGUUUUGAUCUUAAAUUUGUUGAAACCCAUCUUUCUUAUUUUAGUUCAUUUUGUUUCAAUAAACAAUACUUAUUGAGUUUGUAAAACAAAUUUAUUUAAUGGUAAUUUAGUUAACUUC